UACGUAGGGUGCGAGCGUUGUCCGGAAUUAUUGGGCGUAAAGGGCUCGUAGGCGGUUUGUCGCGUCGGGAGUGAAAACCCAGGGCUUAACCCUGGGCUGGCUUUCGAUACGGGCAGACUAGAGGUAGGCAGGGGAGAGCGGAACUCCUGGUGUAGCGGUGGAAUGCGCAGAUAUCAGGAAGAACACCGGUGGCGAAGGCGGCUCUCUGGGCCUUACCUGACGCUGAGGAGCGAAAGCGUGGGUAGCGA
rnacentral:rRNA from 1 species